rnacentral:misc_RNA from 1 species
UACGGAGGGUGCAAGCGUUAAUCGGAAUUACUGGGCGUAAAGCGCUCGUAGGCGGUUUGUUAAGUCGGAUGUGAAAGCCCCGGGCUCAACCUGGGAACUGCAUUCGAUACUGGCAGACUAGAGUAUAGAAGAGGCAAGUGGAAUUCCGGGUGUAGCGAUGAAAUGCGUAGAUAUCCGGAGGAACAUCAGUGGCGAAGGCGACUUGCUGGUCUAAUACUGACGCUGAGGAGCGAAAGCGUGGGGAGCAAACGGG